AGCUUCACAGGCAGAACACAACACACAGAUGCAAGGUCUCCUGAUGGCAGAAAACCUUAUAACCAGAGACGGGGUUACUCCGUGUUAGCCAGGAUGGUCUCGAUCUCCUGACCUCGUGAUCCACCUGCCUUGGCCUCCCAAAGUGCUGGGAUUCUGUAAUCCCAGUGAGCCACCGCGCCUGGCCCAUGUUCCAAAGAUCUUAAAGAUGUCCCAGAAAAGUUCUAGAGUACUAUCAGAUCUCACACUUUGCCUUGGAAGCUGUCAUUCCCCUCCAUUGGCCCCACAACUGCAGUAUAAUCUUCAGUGACAGGAGAAAAUCGACCUUGUUUGUACAGAAGUCUCAGCAGGAAUAGGCAGAUGCCUGUUUUUGCUGCCAAGGAUGGAGGAUUGGAAUGGGCCCAUUAUAUAUUUUGAGGCUUUGAAGAAAAGUCUCAGGAUAUGUUUUCCCAUUAAAAUACUGUUAUAAACAAUUAGAUUUAUAGGUUGUUUAAAAUCUCAUUUCAGCCAAUUGUAGUUUUAAAAGUCAUUUGUAAUAGGCACGUCUAUGGAUGAAAUUUAUCUUCUCUCGUAUAUUGAAGUAUUGUUAUUUUAACUAUACCCUAACUCUUCAGACUUGGGUAAGUCUCCUUUAUUUAUGCUUUUAAUAUUCCUCAUAAUUUUUUAGAGCACAUACAGCAGUUUUAUAUUACAUGGUUUCGUAAAUAUUUGUUGUCUUCUUCAUUGGAUCGUAAGCUCCUCAAGGCAUAGUUCAUGUCUCGUUUACUUGCCUUGUACCCUCAACCUCUGUCCCAGUCCCUAGCACAUAGUGCCCAUGCUACAAAUUCCAGAAUGAAUGAAAGGAUGAAUAAAGGAGUGAGUGUUUACUAUGAUUAAGGGACUGGACUAGUUGUAUAUUAAAAUGAUAAAUGUAAGACACAUCAUCUGCUUUCAAGAAGCAUACAGUCUACCUUGAGCCAGGAGUGAAAGAAGGAGAACAUAUAUUAUAACUAGAAUACAGGGCAUAAAUGUUAUGUGAUAAAUCAUAGGUGAAAAUAAAGCAAUAUAGCAAGAGAAGACAUUAGUUAUUUAUAGCAUAAUUUUAAUGGGAAAAUAUACAAGUUUUGGAAACCUGAUUUACAAACUGAAUUUUGCAACAUAAUGUAAGUGGAAAAAUGCUCACUUAUGAUUUAGGUAUAACCCUUCUAUAAUGUUCAUUCAUUUCAAAACUGGUAUAGAAAUAUAUUGUUGGCUGGGUGUGUUGGCUCGUGCCUAUAAUCCCAACACUUUGGGAGGCCAAGACAGGUGGGUCAUCUGUGGUCAGAAGUUCUAGACCACCCUGGCAAACAUGGUGAAACCCUAUUUCUAUUAAAAAUACAAAAAUUGUGUGGGGGCAAGUGCCUGUAGUCCCAGCUACCUGGGAGGCUGAGGCAGGAGGGUCGCUUGAACCCAGGAGGCAGAACUUGCAGUGAG
rnacentral:lncRNA from 1 species